UUAAGAUCAAUUCAAAGUAUAUUUUCUGCCUCACUUGGCUGUUUUCACCUUAUUUUUGGUUAAAUAUAUAGUUUUAAUGGCACAUAGGUACUCACAACUAGUAAUUCUAGCAGAGGUUUUGUUAUUAUUGCAUGUUAUCGGUGGCACUUGCAUUGUGAUUGAUGACUUAUUUGUGUGUGCUCUCGUCUAAGCGCAUAACUAAUUAGUCAUCGAAAAAUGCUCGUCUCUGAUUGCCUGUAAUUUUUUUACUAUCUGCAACCUGUAAAAUAAAUAUUAUUUGUCUAAUAUAGGUGAAAUAGAUGGAUUUUUUAUGGGCAAGACGUUGAUAAUCAUUAUCUACAUAAUCAAGCGUAUGUAAAGUAUAGUAUAAGUUAUCGUACGUAUGAUCGAAAGAACAUUGUGAAAUUAUUGUAGCCUUGAAAAGGGCUGUUUGUCAUACCAGCCCUGAUAGGCUUUUGUGGGAACAGUCUAGACCCGGAUCACUUUAUUUCUUAUUCCAGAAGUGGGUCCGGCAAAUUUUCGGACUCUGCUAUGAGGCAUUCUUCUUCCUCCAUAAUCUCGCUAUCACAGGGAGGCUCGGUAGUCUGUAACAACUGAAUUGCUUCAGGCAACAACUCACCAUGAACCUGUUUCGUUAUUUUAGGCCUUAUGUAGGAUAUGUGGGGAUCAGAGCUUAUUAGAAGUCCAUGGAGGAUGUCUUCGUUUGUUGCUGUUCUGUCCGUUUUCCGAGUUUGUCUCUCUGACGUUUCUGAAGUCUUAAGUAAGUACUUCCAUCUCGAGAGCGCAAGUGAGGUAUAAAGAGCUAAGCACUUAUCUUCAGAGACGGUACUUAGGCUCUGCUUUUUGAAUAGUCGCUCGUGUACUUGGGAUAGUGUUUCUGGAUUACUAGAAAGGUAUUCGACUACUUUUGCCAGAUUCGUUUUGCCGUUGUCUUUCAAUUUUGUUAAGGACUAGUGCUGCAACUCUUCCUCUGAAUUUUCUUCUACUAUGGAAGUAGAACGUCUUUUUUUGCUUAUUACUUAAGUCUUCGAACGGUUUUCUGUGCUCCUUUUCUGUAGAUGUUCCCGCUUCCAUAGUACAUACCGCAAGAUUGGAACAUGGGAAUUCACAUCCACUGGCUCAGAUAAGUCUGCGUCCGAAAAGCCCAACUCACUUCUCAGGUCUACACUGUCACAAACAGGCCAGUUGAUAUUUUUUUCCAACCAAUUGCGAUUAUUUAUACGAUUCAUAAAAGUUUUUUGACUUCUACUUGACUCUAUCCACUUUUUAUUUAGACUUACACAAAAAAGCCGACAGAACUCCUUGAUUAGGUUUUUGUCUUCUUCAGAAACUGUGGUAUUCAAAACAGAAAUUAUACUUUCAUAUAGAAACAUAUAAUUUUUCAGAUCACCACCACUUCUUAAUUUCACAAAAAGAUCUAGGUUGGUACAAAAUCCAGCCAUAGUUCUAACGUAAAUAUUAAAAUAAUAAAAUAAAAGUAUUUCACCGUGUUCACAAAUAAGCGACAAGAGCGAAACUCUUUUGGUGUGAGUUGACCUUAACGUGGUCGGUACGUGCUUAAAACAAAGCUUUCUGAUAAAAAUUCUUACGUAGUUAGGUGAUGGUAUUUUGAGUCAGCGUUACUAAGCAUUUUAAUAAUUGAAGGAAAAUAAUAAAUAUUUUUAACUAUUGUACUAAUACUUUGAUUUAUUAAUUGUCAUUUUUGUUAUACAAAAGUUCAUAAGGAAAUAAUAAUAAUUCAAUCAUAAUUCAUGCUAUCUUAGUAGGUAAUUAUCUUUUUUGUGUUUCGGCCUCAUUCUGAAGUUGGUUUUUGACGAAUCACCCCCGUCCCAGGGAAACUUCUUUCUGUCGCCGGAUGGUGACAAAAACCUAUGUUCUUCUAUGGUUUGGUAUCCUAUGUUCUUCUCCCGGGUCUAAACUAUGUCUUAUGUGUAAUUUUCAGCUUAAAUGUUUUAGCCAUUCUUGAGUAUUACAAUGUGUAACUAACAAGACUUCUUUUUAGAUAAAAGAAGAGGCCUUUGACCAGCAAUGGCUGUCUCUCGGCUGACAUGACGACCUACAAUGACAUUAUCCAAUAUUGUGCAAUUAAAAAGUUUUCCCUAAACAUCAUUGCGCGAUCUUCAAUUUCAACGCUACAAAGUCCAUUUUGCACAAUUCGUAAUAUUUCGCAAUUUCAUUGAUUCGACGAUCAAUGAACGAUCGAACAAUCAAUAUACUUACAUAUAAUAGGUUAAAUAGUACAAACCUAAUUGUUACUUAGUUAUUAUAAAGUUUUAUGUUGUUACAAUUUUCUUUGUUAUCUUUUUUUUUCAAUUUUCUUUAUUUUUAAGUUUCCUUUGUUAGAAAUUUAAUUACUCUGAUUUAUGUAAGUAAGUGACUUUUGAAGUCGUGUAAAUCAAAUAAAUAAAUAAAUAACUUUCAUACGAUAUGAAAAGCCAUGCCAAACUAACCAUCAUAUAUACCAUCAUGAGCGUAGCCAGGUUAACUUCUAAGUCUAAAAGGGUAACUUUUGGGCUGCGGAAGAAUUUGGAUUCCCGCGGCCCUGCACCCACGUGCAAGUGGUGGGGAUAGCCAGUAAGAGUCCAGCACGCCCCACCGCCUCUCCCCAAACGGAUGAAGACCACGAGGGUUUCCCCCCGAUAAAAUAAGAGUGGGGCAGUUGCCCAUACAUAUUAUUUACCCAUAUAUUUUGACGCUAUAAACGUCUGUUUGUCAUUGAAGUUUCAAUAGUCGAGCAGUCAAGACGCGUCAAUAUGAAGGGCAUUUAUUUCAUUAUGUUCGUGAGCUUAGCGCUAAUAGUCGCAUACUGUUCAAUACAAGCGCAACCAAUUGACGACAACGCACUAUUCGAACAACGAGAAAAGCCAGUGAAUAUACGGAUCAAGCGGCUAGUCUGUGUUCUAUGUGACAAAGCCUUAAAACAUUGGUGUCCCAGUAAUCAAAUAUAUUUCUUCAACCAAUGCCUUCCUUGUGAACUGUACAAAUUAAUCAUGGAGAAAGAUUGCCCGGUUUCUAAUAUGAAUAAAAAGUAAUAUAAUAAUCUCUGCAUACAUAGGUAUAGGUAUGUACAUAUGUAUGUAGUAUUAUCCAAUAUUUUAUACAAGUACAGGACUGAAAACUUACAAUGGACGACAAAUGCUUAAUCCCUAUCGCAGUUAGCUGGAAAUAUUCAGCCGAGAACCAUGUUCGAUGACUUUAUGCAAUGUAUUGUAAACAUAAUUUUAUUAAAUAAUUUGAAACCAUGA